UACAGAGGGUGCGAGCGUUAAUCGGAAUUACUGGGCGUAAAGCGCACGUAGUCGGCUUUGCAAGUCGGGUGUGAAAUCCCCGGGCUCAACCUGGGAACUGCAUCCGAGACUGCAUUGCUAGAGUAUGGGAGAGGGAAGCGGAAUUUCUGGUGUAGCAGUGAAAUGCGUAGAUAUCAGAAGGAACAUCAGUUGCGAAGGCGGCUUCCUGGACCAAUACUGACGAUCAGGUGCGAAAGCGUGGGGAGCAAACAGG
rnacentral:rRNA from 1 species